rnacentral:lncRNA from 1 species
CCUGAAUCAAUGUUAUGAUGAUAUUCACACAUUCUCUGACAGAAUGAAGAGAAGGAACAGGAAAUGACAAGACACACUACUGUAAAUUCCUAGUAAAAAUGUUUUAUCAAUAAAUGUAAAUGAAUCAAAAAGUAUGUGAGACAAACUAGCUGCUCCCUAUUUGAUUGUGCACUGCUAAUAAUUACACACUAACAUACAGUAGACUGACCUGUAAAUAAACUAAAUAAAUAUAACGUAAUUAUAUUAUAUCAGAGGACAAUGCCCAAACAGUUUGAAUCCAUCACUUUUGCAAUGAGGAAAAUACAUCUUUUGUACACACCCCAAAAUAGUUAACAUAACAAGACUCAUUUUUACAGACCAACACUGUGAACUACUUUCAAGGCAAGUUUCCUAACACAAUCAAGAUCACAACACAGGAUGACACAGUGCUUUGCAAAGGUAUUCAGACCCUUAAAUAGUUCUCUCAUUAUACUAUAGGUACAAAUCCAAUUUUAAAGAAAAUAUGUUUUACAUUUUUAAUAAAAAUAAAAACGGCAUAUUCAAGUCUAGACAUUGAGUAUAUUAUAAAGCUAGCAUUGAAGCAAUUGCAGCUGCAAACCUGGCUCUAUAAAUGUCUUUUGUGGUAUGUACCAGCUUUUCACAGCUGCAUUAGGGUGUAAUUUUGUCCCAUUUUCCCCAGGCAGAUUGAUAUUUCAGGUUAGUCAGUGACUCUUGCACACCAAUGAUUUUCAAAUUGCGCCAGAGAUUCAUAAUUGGACUGAGAUCACGGCUUUGAGGGUGCUAUUGCAGGAAAUUUUCACCUUAGACCUUAGGCCACUCCAUUGUUAAACUGGGCAUGUGCGUAGGAUCAUUUAAUUUAUAAAACUAAUUUAUACUGAAAGAGCAAAAUCUAGGGAUCCGAAUAGCAUAAAAAAUUGUUGGUGGGCUUUUGUGACCUAGGCCAGUUUGCAACCACAUAGCAACAUGCUAAAAAUCACUUAGCAACCUAGCAUCAUAGCGAGUUUUACAUCACUGUAAAAAUCUAAUGCUGAAGUAAUAGCUUGUGCUACUGUGAUAUGUACAACCUUCUCAUUUAUGCAUUUCUUCUCACUUAAUUGUAAAGCGAUUUUACAAUUAAAAAUUUUUUAAAUGUUUUUUCUCUA